UACAGAGGGUGCAAGCGUUAAUCGGAAUUAUUGGGCGUAAAGAGCUCGUAGGCGGUUUGUCACGUCGGAUGUGAAACCCUGAGGCUCAACCUCAGGCCUGCAUUCGAUACGGGCAGACUAGAAUUCGGCAGGGGAGACUGGAAUUCCUGGUGUAGCGGUGAAAUGCGCAGAUAUCUGGAGGAACACCGGUGGCGAAGGCGGCAUCCUGGACCAAUUCUGACACUGAGGAGCGAAAGCGUGGGGAGCGAACAGG
rnacentral:rRNA from 1 species